rnacentral:rRNA from 1 species
UCGUUAGUUGAAUUUUCUGGUCGUGGCGACCGGUCCGCCCCUCACGGGGCGUGCACCUGGUCUCUGCGUCCAUCCUCGGGGAGAGCGCGUCUGGCAUUCAGUUGUCGGGCGCGGGAUCCUCGUCAUUUACUGUGAGCAAAAUAGAGUGUUCAAAGCAGGCUUAGGUCGUUGAAUACAUUAGCAUGGAAUAAUAAGAUAGGACCUUGGUCUAUUUUGUUGGUUUGCACUCCAAGGUAAUGAUUAAUAGGGAUAGUUGGGGGUAUUCGUAUUCAAUUGUCAGAUGUGAAAUUCUUGGAUUUAUGGAAGACGAACUACUGCGAAAGCAUUUUACCAAGGAUGUUUUCAUUAAUCAAGAACGAAAGUUAUGGGAUCUAAUAUGAUUAUAUACCAUUGUAUUCUUAACCAUAAACUAUGC